rnacentral:lncRNA from 1 species
UGAAAUUUUUAGGUUUGAUUAGCAUAUCCUCAACCACUCCUUGAGAGUGCUUCAUGGAUCUUUUCGUCAACAAUAGGUAUGGCUCCCCCAAAUUUAAUUUCUAGUAUAUGGAAAUUGGUAUUAGGUUAAUACUUAUUUCAUAUAGUUAAUUUCGUAAUUGUUUAUGAGUUUUUCGUAUAAAGUAAAGUAAUGAAAUUCCUUGGAUCUUUUAGCUUAAGAGGGAGCUUGUGUCGUAGGAUUGCAAUGCCAAUGCACAGUUUCCUGUUCUGAUAGCUUUCCACUAUUUUUUGUUUUGGCUGCUUUCUUUCUUAGACAACAUAUCUAUUAAAAACUUCACAUAACUAGAAAUCUGUAAGAUUGCAUCAAUGAAAGGAAUGUUGAUGUUAAGCUUCCUAAGGGCAUCCAAGAACUAUGAGAAUUGUUUCUUAAACUUAUUGUUAUACAACCUUAAAGAAAAUGGGACUGGAGGCAGGUGCGGAGCCAGCACCCGGCGAGGGGGCCUGGCCGUGCGUGCUGGCUCCGCCGGAAUCUUCAGAUCCAUCGGGUAGCGCCAAUUGCAGAUGAGCGGAGUCCGAUUGUCGCUGGAAAAGGAAGAAGACAAAGAGAAGAGGGCCAAUUUUGUUCUUUUUUUUUUUUUUUGGGUUUGGGCAGGGUUCAAAUGUUGGACCUCUUAUAGUUAGCCCAAUUGUUAAAUGAAAAUAACCCAAUUUAUCAAAAUCCAAUUACCCAAUAAAAUUGAAUCAAAUGCCCAAAUAACUCCCAUUUCUCCCAAAUCGUGGAACAGUGGAAGGCUGGAAGAAAACCCUUUUCCAAUUUAUUCAAUUCUUCCUUCCCCGCUCGCCCCUACCAGCAUGACGCUGCACAAGUGACGAGACACGACGGUGCCAGAGACCGCCGAUUUCGCCCCUGCCCUGUAGGCUGCAGUGUGAGACACUUCUUCCUUCGCCAACGCCGGUUCGCCCUUGAUUUCUAAUUGUUUUUCUAACAUGACUUUUGACUUAAUUAUGAAAAUCUUACAUCUUUUUGAGUUUUGGAGUAAAGAUAGAUAUAUUGUUGUGUUAUCUGUUGAUAUACUGAUUAAUUAUACAAUAAGUCAUAAAAUAUUGUAUUAUUAAUAAAUAGGGUUGAUUAAAAUUUAAAAGUACAAAAUUUAAUUAAAAAUAAGAUUACUGCAAUUUGAGUUAUCUUCAUAAUUUACUUCUGUUAAUUAUUAUAUUCCUCAAAUAUUCGACUCAGGGUGAGGGAUAUAAUUACAUAAUUGAACAGUGCCAAUAUAUUAUGUGAGUGCUUAUAUUUUUUAAAUGAAAAUUUUCACAGGGUAUGAAUAGUAUGAGUGCCUGUUUGUAUGUACUGAGUGCUAACUGCUAAAUUGACAAAUUUAAUUUUAUUGUAUUGUAAUUUGUAGGUGCUAACUGCUCAACACCAUGUUUAAUAGUUUAAGGGUAUCAAUUUGGCGUGAAAUUGGAACGAAAUCGCAGAAUUCUUUGUCUACUUGGUGAGCAAGUUCUCCGGUUCACUGGUUGGAGACUUGGAGCCAAUAUUAAUGCUAAGGGAUUCCUUCCUCAGGUCAGUGAUUUAAGUUGAUUAAUUGAUGUUAAAUAUGUUGUGAUUUAUUCAUUUGGGAAUUAAAAAAUUGCGAAUUGUGAUUUAUAAAUUAUGAUAUGUAAUUUACGUUUUAUGAGUUAUGAUUAUUGAUUUGGGAAUUUAUGUUUACGAAAUUAUAUUUGCA